rnacentral:piRNA from 1 species
UGUCAAAUGGGCCAUGUCUGCUAGGU